rnacentral:lncRNA from 10 species
AAAAAAAUCCAUUCCCUGAGCCUUCAUAGGUGCUGCAGUUGGAGCCAAGAUUUGGCACUGACCUUUCUAGCAGUCCAAGAACUAGACAGUGAUUCUGAGGCUCUCAGUGCCCACAGAUCAAAAUAGGCCCAGGACUCAGGAGUUCCUAGUCAUAGUUGUAGUCGCUGAUGUUUAUCAAAAUUCAGUAGGCACUGUUCUGAGCAACUGAUGUACACUGAAGCACAGAGAGGUUGAGUGGCUUAGGCAAAGUCACACAGCAUGCAUGUGGUAGAAGCAGGACUCGGUGCUAGGACAUUUGGCUUCAGAGCUGGGGGCUUAACCACUCGAUUCAUCUUCCAGGAGAGAAAUGUCUCCUGAGGGAGGGAGUCUUACAUGACGAAAGAGAAAGCAGGUGUGAGGGGGAAGGAGGAGAGGAGCCAAGGCAGAGGGAGGAAGAGAGACUGACCUAUGGGAACAGAGGCAGAUGGGAAGAGAGUGGGGGCUGC